rnacentral:rRNA from 1 species
AUGGUCUACCACGAGAGGGAGGAGCAUGAGAGGACCUGUCCCGGCAAAGCCGGCGCCAUGCAGAAGCAGGGACGUGUCGUGAAGAUGGGCCCCUGCGGCGGCGGCGGCGUAGACGUCUGGGAGAUGGACGUGCGGGGCGUCGACCGUAUCGUGAAGGUCGUCCUCUGGCACUCCGGCGCGGUCGACGCCAUCUCAGUGCUAUACGAGCGGGACGGCCGGGAGGAGCAGACCAGGCACUGGGGAAAGCCCGAAGGACAGCGCUCAGAGGUUUGGUGGUGCGGCGAUGAAGCUCCCUUGGUUUAUGGUUGGCAUGUGCAGAUCUGCCUGGAGCCGGAUGAAUACCUCAUCGGCGUCAAAGGGAACCUUGGCAAUUUUGGUGGUUGCUUCCUCUUGGGAAGGCUUACUUUAAUCGGCAACCUGCGCACCUUUGGGCCAUAUGGAACGCGGGAAGGUCCGCCAUUCGAUCUUCCCGCAGCUGGCGGCAAGAUUGUUGGUUUCCAUGGCCGCUCCGGGGGCCUCCUCGACGCUCUGGGCACCUAUGUAAAGAUGGACGACUAG